CGCACAUUGCGCCCCUUGGUAUUCCAUGGGGCAUGCCUGUUCGAGCGUCAUCUACACCCUCAAGCACUGCUUGGUGUUGGGCGUCUGUCCCGCCUUCGCGCGUGGACUCGCCCCAAAGUCAUUGGCAGCGGUCUCUGGCACCUCAACGCGCAGUACAAUGCGUUCAUUGGGGUGCCGUGGGCGCGUCCACUAAGCUUUUACCGUCUUUGACCUCGGAUCAGGUAGGGAUACCCGCUGAACUUAA
rnacentral:misc_RNA from 1 species